rnacentral:rRNA from 1 species
CAGUCGCCGCGGUAAUACGAGGGGGGCAAGCGUUGUUCGGAAUUAUUGGGCGUAAAGGGCGCGUAGGCGGUUUGUCAAGUUUGGUGUGAAAUCUUCGGGCUCAACUCGAAGUCUGCAUCGAAAACUGCCGGGCUUGAGUAUGGGAGAGGUGAGUGGAAUUUCCGGUGUAGCGGUGAAAUGCGUAGAUAUCGGAAGGAACACCUGUGGCGAAAGCGGCUCACUGGACCAUUACUGACGCUGAGGUGCGAAAGCUAGGGGAGCAAACAGGAUUAGAUACCCCCGUAGUCCCUGUCUCUUAUAA